CGUUUUCUUCUCCCUUUUCAAGAAUAAAAACCGUCAUCUUUCUCCUUUCAUCUUCAUUUCGUUAGAACCAAGAAAAAAGUUUGAAACAAACCAUAAAACCCAAAUCCAUCUUCUCCGAUCAUUCAUUUUCAUCUUCUCCGGUCCUGUAGCCUCUUCUCCGUUGCUAAAUCCGUUACAGAAAGCGAAAAAAUCCCUGUCCAGCUCUCAAUUCAUUUAUCUAACUUAAACUCUUGAUUUCAAUUUCAACUUCAGUUCAGUUUCAAUUUUUAACCUACCCUUAAAUCCAGUUUGAUCCUGAAUUAUUUCCAUCUUCUGCCAUGAAUAGAAGAGGAGGUAGAUCAGAAAGUAAACAGUGUUUAAAUCACGUAUCCAGUGAUUUUGUUGGUAAUACUAACGAGGAACGAUCUGCAUUGGUGGCUACAUCUUUGUCAGGUAAAAUUAGCAAAACUCGAGGAAAUAGUUUAAAUUUUGCUCAUAGAAAUGUUCACUCUAGAAUGGUUAAAAGUAGGAUUUCAAAAAAGAAGCUUGUUGCAGAUGAAAUUAUUUUUAUAAACAACGAGUCAUAUUCUGAGGCUUUAGUUGCGAUAACGGCCGGAUUUCCGUCUGACUCGUUAAAGGAUGAAGAAAUCGAAGCUGGAGUUGUUAGUGAAGAUGGAGGGACAGAAGUGUACAACUAUAUUUUACUUAGGAAUCACAUUAUCACGAAAUGGCGUGGAAAUGUGUCUAUCUGGCUGACUAAGGAUAUGUUUGUUGAUGUUAUACCUGAACAAUAUAGUGGAUUAUUAGAUUCUGCAUAUAACUACCUGUUAUCAUACGGGUACGUUAAUUUUGGGGUGACAUUGGCAAUUAAGGACAAGAUUCCAACUAGGCCAAGUAAGGGAAGAGUGAUCGUUAUCGGGGCAGGUCUUGCUGGGUUGGCGGCUGCAAGGCAACUGAUGUUGUUUGGAUUUGAGGUGAUUGUUUUGGAGGGACGAAAGCGUGCAGGUGGAAGGGUGUAUACAAAAAAGAUGGAAGGAGGGAAUAAAAUAGCAGCCGCUGACUUAGGAGGGAGUGUUUUGACAAGUACAUUAGGGAAUCCGCUGGGUGUGUUGGCUCGACAAUUGUCAUAUACACUUCAUACGGUGAGAGACCGAUGUCCACUCUAUCAUGCUGACGGAACGCCCGUAGACGAGUAUUUGGAUAAAAAAGUGGAGGUUGCUUAUAAUGAACUUUUGGAAAAGGCAAGCAAGGUCAGACAAGACUUAUCUCCGAUUAUUUCUCUUGGAGAGGCAUUGGAAACUUUGCGAAAGGAUUCUAGUGUUGCGAUGAAUGAUGAGGAGAUGAACUUGUUUAACUGGCAUUUGGCAAAUUUGGAAUAUGCAAAUGCAAGUUUGCUUUCAAAGCUUUCCUUAAGAUUUUGGGACCAAGAUGACCCCUAUGACAUGGGAGGGGAUCACUGCUUCUUGCCCGGUGGAAAUGGAAGAUUAAUUGAUGCAUUGGCCGAAAAUGUGCCUAUUAGUUUUGAAAAAACUGUGCAUACCAUUCGUUACGGUAGAGAUAGAGUGAAGGUGAUUACUGCGGGACAAGUAUUUGAGGGAGAUAUGGUAUUGUGCACGGUUCCUCUCGGAGUUCUAAAGCGUGGUUCUAUCAGUUUCUUUCCAGAGUUGCCUCAACGAAAGCUGGAUACAAUAAGAAGAUUGGGUUUUGGACUAUUAAACAAAGUUGCAUUGUUAUUCCCGUAUGUGUUUUGGGACUCCAACGUUGAUACAUUUGGUCAUGUUGCUGAUGAUUCUAAGCAUCGGGGGGAAUUCUUUCUGUUCUACAAUUAUGCAACUGUUUCUGGUGGCCCUUUAUUGUUAGCUCUAGUCGCAGGAAAAGCUGCACAUAGAUUUGAGAGAAUGACUCCUACUGAUGCAGUAACCAAAGUGCUUCAAAUUUUAAAAGGUAUAUAUGAACCACAAGGCAUUAACGUCCCAAAGCCCAUUCAAAUUGUAUUUACAAGCUGGGGUAGUGAUCCGUUCAGCUAUGGUUCCUACUCCAGUGUUGCUGUGGGUGCAUCAGGAGACGACUACGACAUUUUAGCAGAAACUGUGGGGGACGGAAGACUUUUCUUUGCUGGUGAGGCAACUACCAGGCACUAUCCAGCAACGAUGCAUGGAGCAUUUCUCACUGGACUUAGAGAAGCUGCAAAGAUGGCCCAUCACGCUAGUGUUAGAACAUCGCAUUUGCAGGCUGAGAAAAAAUAAUGAGAUAAGUUUCAACUUCUUUACGGAUCCCCAGAAAGGCUAAUAAAGUUGGCAAAGGCAAUGAAAGCACUUUAUCUAUUGGGAAUAUCAGAACUAAUGUAAUUGCGAGUUGCUUUAGCUCUACGCCUUUAGGCUUUGGCAAGUAAGAAAUUGACCCUUCUACUGGUUUGUGGUAAGGGAUCUCACUUCCUCCGAGUUUGAAAUUCUUGUAAUGGAAAUAUGGAUCUAUGCUUCCAUUCCUGAGAAAACUUCUUGCCCGAGCUUGCCUUAUCCAAAAAUCCCACUUUUUUAUAUCCAAAUGCUCAUCCAUUGGAUUUCCAUCAACUCGAAAACUAGAAUCAUCAGCAACAUGACCAAAUGUAUCAAUGUUGGAGUCCCAAAACACAUACGGGAAUAACAAUGCAACUUUGUUUAAUAGUCCAAAACCCAAUCUUCUUAUUGUAUCCAGCUUUCGUUGAGGCAACUCUGGAAAGAACCUGAUAGAACCACGCUUUAGAACUCCGAGAGGAACCGUGCACAAUACCAUAUCUCCCUCAAAUACUUGUCCUGCAGUAAUUACCUUCACUCUAUCUCUACCGUAACGAAUGGUAUGCACAGUUUUUUCAAAACUAAUAGGCACAUUUUCGGCCAAUGCAUCAAUUAAUCUUCCAUUUCCACCGGGCAAGAAGCGGUGAUCCCCUCCCAUAUCAUAGGAGUCAUCUUGGUCCCAAAAUGCUAAGGAAAGCUUUGAAAGCAAACUUGCAUUUGCAUAUUCUAGAUUUGCCAAAUGCCAGUUAAACAAGUUCAUCUCCUCAUCAUUCAUCGAAACACUAGAAUCCUUUCGCAAAGUUUCUAAUGCCUCUCCAAGAGAAAAUAAUCGGAGAUAUGUCUUGUCUGAUCUUGCUUGCCUUUUCCAAAAGUUCAUUAUAAGCAACCUCCACUUUUUUAUCCAAAUACUCGUCUACGGGCAUUCAGUCAGCAUGAUAGAGUGGACAUUCGUCUCUCACCGUAUGAAGUGUAUAUGACAAUUGUCGAGCCAACACACCCAGCGGAUUCCCUAAUGUACCUGUCAAAACACUCCCUUCAAAGUCAGCGGCUGCUAUUUUAUUCCCUCCUUCCAUCUUUUUUGUGUACACCCUUCCACCUGCACGCUUUUGUUCCUCCAAAACAAUCACCUCAAAUCCAAAUAACAUCAGUUGCCUUGCAGCCGCCAAUCCAGCAAGACCUGCCCCGAUAACGAUCACUCUUCCCUUACUUGGCCUAGUUGGAAUCUUGUCCUUAAUUGCCAAUGUCACCCCAAAAUUAACAUACGCGUACGAUAACAAGUAGUUAUUUGUAGAAUCUAAUAACCCACUAUAUCGUUCAUGUAUAAUGUCAACAAACAUAUCCUUUGUCACCCAGAUAGACACAUUUUCACGUCAUUUCGUGAUAAUGUGAUUCCUAAUUAAAAUAUAGUUAUACACUUCUGUCCCGCCACCUUCACUAACAACUCCAGCUUUGAUUUCUUCAUCCUUUAACGAGUCAGACGGAAAUCCGGCCGUUAACGCAACUAAAGCCUUAGAAUAUGACUCAUUGUUUAUACAAAUAAUUUCAUCUGAAACAAGCUUCUUUUUUGAAAUCCUACUUUUAACCAUUUUAGACUGAACAUUUCUAUGAGCAAAAUUAGAACUUUUUCCUCGAGUAUAGCUAAUUUUACCUGAGGAAGAUGUAGCCACCAAUGCAGAUUGUUCCUCGUUAGUAUUACCGACAAAAUCAUUGGAUACGUGAUUUAAACACUGUUUACUUUCUGAUCUACCUCCUCUUCUAUUCAUCGCAUGAGAUGGAAAUGAUUCAGAAUCAAACCGGAUUUAGGGGUAGGGUUAGAAUUUGGAACUGAACUGAAACUGGAAGUGAAAUUUUUGGGUUUAAGUUAGGCAAAUGGAUUGGGAAUCGGAGAGGAAUUUUGUCGACUCAAAUUCGAGCAUUGGUGAUAAGUUUUGUGUUGGUGUCACUGGCUCUACUUCUUCUAUUGGCUGGUGGGAGCACUAUCCAUGCUUCAAAUACUUCUGAAGAUGGCACAGGUACAUGUGCUUCGUCUCCCGGUGCAAAUCAUGGUGAUUGGUAAAAGGCAUUAUGGUAGAAGCACAAACUUUAUAUUUCUUGGCUCUUCUACGGUGAUUGGAAUCCGUUAUAGGUGUCUAUCAACUCUUUUGCUUAUUGUGUGCAGGAACUGUAUAUUUGAGCAGCUCUUUCGUUAUCUUAAGACGAAAGAAUUAUGUGCUGUAUUAUUGUGUGCUAUUGUGCAUGUAUUGUCAUGAGAAAGAUUUCACUAUUGCUAGCAGAGUAACAGGUGAAAAAGCGCCUUUUACAUAAAUGUACUCGAGCAGUUGCGUUAGGCCAAGUAGGUGUGCAGGUUCAGAUUUUCUUUGUUUAUUUCUGAGCAUUUCUCAGAUGAUAAAAGCUUCAGUCCUCUGUUUGAUUGCUUCCAUAUCAGGCGUCAACAUUCUGCCUCAGCAUAACAUCUAUCUUUGUUGAUAUCUUCAAAGGAUCUUUAUCCUCAUUGUUGAAUGCUCACAAAUCCAUAUUGCUCAAAAUGUUCAUGAGAUUCAGGAUUGAAACCAACAAUAGUCGCAGAAGCUUCCACUCCUGCAAGAAGAGAUCGAUUGAUGAUGUGCUAAUUCCUAUUGAGUCUUGCCAUAUGUAUGAUCUUUCUGGCACGCGCAUUAAGCAUGAGACAGAACUCCAGCAGAUGUAGAACUUUGCAGCCAAGCUGACAGUGCAUUUAAUUCUAAGGUUUGUUGUCCCAACCUGAAAAGGCUAUAUAUCAUUGGGCCUAACGGCAUAAGUGCUCUAUGGUCUCACCAACUGCCUAUUUCCGCAAACUUCAAAUGAGUGACAGUAUCAGAUUGUGGAAAAUUGAUGUCUCGAUCAGUGACCAGAGCUUUCUGAAUCAUUUGUUCAACACUCUGAGUUGGGCAAUGACGGAAUUUUCAGUUUCUACCUAUUUUGUACUAGUUAUAGGUAGUAUCUUGGUUUUUUGGGGUGCCGGUGUUGAAUAUCUUAACUGAGGGUGACUUUGGAUAAUGUCUUGCAAAGGUGUUGGAGUUUCAGCAGAGGAAAUGCAGUGUCAUAUUUGAUCUAUCCUGCAAUCUUGCAAGGAUUUUAGAAUUUUGUACCCAUGAGAUACCUCAAGCGUUUAUCUCUGGGGCAGAUACAAAUUUGCAAAGGCUGACUGAAGUGAUCGUCUUUAUACUAAACCACUUAAUUUCUGCAGCUGAUCAAGAACUUUUUGAGUCGCGUAAGGUUCCUCAAGUAUAUGCCUGUGAUGAGGCUAGACAUUGUUCUCCCUGAAAGUGAAGAAAGUUGUCUAGUCGCGUAAGGUUCCUUUACUAGCUGUUCUACGUAGGUUAACAUACACUGUGUUUGCGUUAUAAAGAUGUAUAGAAGUCUGGAAAUGUGACUUUCAUUAUAUUGUUCAUUGAGUGACUUAACUAUUGAGGCUGCAGUCUUUGUUUUGCCUCUGUAAUGUGAGGAUCAGGGAACCCAUUUCAACUAAUAGAAGUUCAACACAAUUGCUAUAUUGUAAGAUUGAAGCUUCCUCUU